rnacentral:lncRNA from 1 species
UCAGUAACAAAUUGACAAACUUGGCAAUUGGUAACUAUUGUCAAAGAUGGUGCAGCAAGGAUUGGAAAAUAAGAACCAAGCAUUUAAUGCACACGGUUCAAAACCCUCUAUAAAUAGAGAAGAGUUUCAGCAAUGAAACACACCACAACACAAUCCUCACUCACAUAGAGUUGAGAGAAAAAUAGAGAGUUCCUCAUAAGAGUGUGAGAGAAAAAUAUAGUGAGCCAAUUUGUGAGAGUUGUAUCUACAAAUUGAGAUACAUAGUUAGGUCCACCUGAGGGUGAAGAUUUGUAUUCCCAUUAUUAUUAUAGUGGAGAUUUAAGAGGCCUACGGGUCCCGUGGUUUUUCCUUACUCACAUUGAGAAGGUUUUCCACGCUAAAAUUUUGUUGUGUCAUUUUACGUUUCCGCUAAAGUGCCUAUUUUGAGUUCACGGAGGAGGGAAAUUAUGCAGGCAUUUCCCAACAGUGGUAUCAGAGCACUCGUUGCUCUGGGACUAUGAGUUUUCGUAUAUGCAAGAUAAUUCUUAAUAUGCUCUGUGGCUGCAACAUUGUUUGAUCUUCCACAUCAGAAAAGAAAUUUCUUGUCGCUAGAAAUAAAGUGAGGUAGUGAUAUAUUGCAUGUCUAGGAGUUCUGGCAAGGAAAGACUUGGUAUUUAAGCGUGUCUAUUGACCCACCUUUCUUACCUGGGAACUUUCAUGGUGCACUAUUCACGAACUCAUAUUUAUUCUAGUAUACGAUACUAGUCACACUUGUUAAAGAAAUUAUUUCCUGUGUAACUCAAGAUGGAGGGUGCAAUCAGCCAUGAUGGUGAUAUGUUCAAGCUAACUGCUGACAAUUACACAUAUUGGAAGCCAAUGAUGGAAGACCACUUGUAUUGCAAAGACUUUCAUGAGCCAAUCACCCAAAAAGAUAAACCCUAGAAGAAGACCGCUACGGAAUGGGAGACGGAGAAUCGAAAAACAGUGGCUAUGAUCCGAAAAUACAUUGAUCGAAGCUUGUUCGAGCAUGUAUCAACUGAUACCAAUGCGUAUGAGUUAUGGACGAAGCUUGAAUCAUUGAUUCAAAAGAAGACGCCGAGAAAUAAAGCACACCUUGUUAGAAGACUGGUGAAGUUAGAGUACUCAGACGGUCAAAAUAUGAUCGAGCAUUUAAACACCUUCAAAGGUAUUGUAAAUCAGUUGACAAAAACAGAAAUGAAGAUAGAUGACGAGUUGCAAACACUUCUACUUCUCAGUUCCUUACCUGAGAGUUGGGACACUUUAGUUGUCACUCUCAGCAAUUCUGCUCCAGAUGGAAAACUUAGCAUGGAUUCAGUCACUGACUGCCUGUUAAAUGAAGAGUCAAGACGAAGGGAAAGAGGCUUGAACAAUUAGUUCGAAGCCAACGUCAUUGACAACAGAGGAAGGAGCAAGAACCGUGAAAAAGGUGGUCGUGAAAAAUCACGAGGCAGAUCAAAGACUCGCACUAAACUAAGUUGUUAUUACUGUGGAAAACCAGGCCAUAGAAAGUUUGAGUGCAGAUUCUUCAAGAGAGAUCAGCAGGCUGGAACGAUCCAUCCCGAUAUAAUCGAUUCAAAGAAGAAAGAAGAAGGAACCACGACAGCAGUCGUAGCAACUAACGAGAAUUUCUUUCUCGUUGAAGAUGAAAAUUAUCUAAAUGUAGCGUCUGAUGACUGCAUUUGGAUAAUUGACUCAGGAGCAUCCUUUCAUGUAACCCCUCAUGAAGAAUUUUUCUCAUCAUAUCAAAAAGGAGACUUUGGUAUGGUGAAGAUGGGCAAUCAUGUCACAAGCAAGAUUGUUGGCAUUGGCGAGGUGACUCUGGCUACAGAUAAUGGCUCUAAGCUCGUGUUGAAGGAGGUUAGACAUGUUCCAGACAUGCGUCUAAAUCUUAUCUCGACAGGAAAAUUAGAUGAUAUUGGUAUGAUAAACCAAUUUGGAGAUGGCAGAUGGAAGCUUAGUAAAGGAAGCAUGAUCAUUGCUCGUGGUAAAAAGGAAGGCUCUCUGUAUGUUAUGCAGGGAAAGAUAAACAAGGGAGAUAUCAAUGUAUCUCAAGGCAUGAGCAAAGAAUUGUGGCACAAACGACUUGGCCACAUGAGUGAGAAAGGUUUGGAGAUUCUUGCUAAGAAUCAUCUUCCAAACAUCAAGGGUCAACCACUUGAAUCCUGUGAAGAUUGUCUAGCAGGCAAACAACACAGAGUAUCUUUUCAAAGAUCGGAUGAUGCAAAAAGAAGAAAGCAUAUCCUCGAUCUUGUUCAUUCAGAUGUUUGCUCUACAUCUGAAAGGUCCCUUGGUGGUUCACAAUACUUUGUUACCUUCAUUGACGAUCACUCUAGAAAAGUGUGGGUGUAUCCAUUGAAGAAGAAAGAUCAAGUUCUUCAGGUUUUCAAAGAAUUUCAUGCCUCUGUAGAACGGGCAUCUGGAAGAAAACUGAAAUGUCUAAGGACAGAUAAUGGUGGAGAGUAUAUAGGCACAUUUGCAGCCUACUGUAAAUCUCAUGGAAUAAGACAUGAGAAGGUACCUCCUAAAACUCCUCAGAUGAAUGGAGUAGCUGAAAGGAUGAAUAGAACGAUUGCAGAGAAAGUCAGAAGCAUGCUUUCUCAAGCAAAACUUCCCAAAUUAUUUUGGGGUGAAGCAGUGAGAACUGCAGUUGAUUUGAUUAAUUUGUCUCCUUCAAGACCUUUAAAUGGAGAGAUACCAGAUGAAGUAUGGUAUGGAAAGAAAGCCUCCUAUGGUCAUUUGAGAGUCUUUGGAUGCAGGGCAUUUGUGCAUGUUCCAAAAGAUGAAAGAGCAAAGCUAGAUGCUAAGACGAAGGAGUGCAUAUACCUUGGUUCACCAAGAGAUGAACUUGGCUUUAGAUUAUGGGAUCCUGCUACUAAGAAGAUGGUUCGAAGCAGAGACGUGGUAUUCUAUGAAGAUCAGACGAUCCACGACAUUCAAUCUAAAAAGCCAAAGACCAUUGUGGUGCACAAUUCAGGGGGAGAGAUUCCUCAGAUGAAUUACGAUCAUGAUCAGCUAACAGAACCAAAUCAGAUGGAGGAGCCUGAUCAGAUAGAACAAAAUCAAGCAAUGCAUGAAGAGCAGAUGGCAUAUGAUGAUGUUGAUGUUGAGAUGGAACAAGAACCUCAAUUGAGAAGAUCAACGAGAUCUAGACAACCAUCAAAAAGAUACUUCUCAGGUGAAUAUGUAAAUUUCACUGAGGAAGGGGAACCUCAAAGCUUCAUGGAAGCUAUAGAGACAACCAAUAAGGAAAAAUGGUUACAAUCCAUGGAAGAAGAGAUGAAAUCCCUAAAGGAGAAUGAGACGUAUGACCUGGUAAAAUUACCAGAUGGAAAGAGGGCAUUGAAAAAUAAAUGGGUGUUCAAACUCAAGUCUGAAGAGAACAACCCAAACCCCAAGUACAAAGCACGAAUUGUUGUGAAGGGGUGCCAUCAAAAGAAAGGCAUUGAUUUUGAAGAAAUAUUCUCACCGGUGGUGAAGAUGACAUCCAUUAGAGCAAUCCUUGGUCUAGCUGCAAAACUAGACUUAGAGAUAGAACAACUUGAUGUUAAAACAGCAUUCUUGCAUGGAGACCUAGAGGAAGAAAUCUAUAUGGAGCAACCUAAAGGUUUCGUUGAACCAGGCAAAGAACACCUUGUGUGUCGCUUGAAGAAAAGUUUAUAUGGCUUAAAGCAGGCUCCAAGACAAUGGUACAAGAAGUUUGAUCUCUUCAUGACCCAACACAACUUCACAAAGACGUCAACAGACCAUUGUGUGUUUGUGAAGAACUAUGAAAAUGGAGAGUCCAUCAUACUUUUAUUGUAUGUUGAUGAUAUGCUUAUUGUUGGAAAAGAUAAGACAAAGAUAUCUGCUCUCAAGAAAGCAUUGAGCAAAUCUUUUGCUAUGAAGGAUUUGGGUGCAGUGAAGAAGAUUCUUGGAAUGAAGAUCAUUAGAGAUCGAUCAAAAAGAAUGUUGUGGAUGUCACAAGAAGAAUAUCUCAAGAAAGUUCUUGAAAGGUUCAACAUGCAUAAUGCAAAACCUGUGCAUGUUCCAUUACCUGGUCAUUUGAAACUCAGUAAGACACAAUGUCCUGAGAAUGAUCAAGAGAAAGAAGAAAUGAGCAAGGUGCCCUAUUCUUCAGCCGUGGGUAGCCUUAUGUACGCCAUGGUCUGCACGAGGCCAGACAUCGGUUAUGCUGUAGGAGUCGUGAGUAGAUUCCUAUCAAAUCCAGGAAAAGAACACUGGAGUGCUGUGAAAUGGAUACUGAGGUAUCUAAAAGGAACUGCCAAAAAGUGCUUAUGUUUUGGCAAUGGAAAUCAAAUGCUCGUUGGAUAUGUAGAUGCUGAUAUGGCCGGAGAUAUAGAUUCAAGAAAAUCUACAUCUGGAUAUUUGAUUACUUUUGCAGGGGGAGCUGUCUCAUGGCAAUCUCGACUACAAAAGUGCGUUGCUUUAAGUACCACAGAAGCAGAGUACAUCGCAAUCACUGAAGGCUGUAAGGAGAUGAUGUGGAUGAAGAAGUUCCUGCAAGAGUUAGGCCAGAAUCAAGAAAUUUAUGUUCUCUAUUGUGAUAGUCAAAGUGCAAUUCACCUCAGCAAGAAUUCGACAUACCAUUCAAGGUCAAAACACAUCGAUGUGAGGUAUCAUUGGAUUCGUGAUGUGUUGGAGAAUAAACUGCUGCAAAUAGAGAAAAUUCACACCAAUGACAACGGAGCAGAUAUGAUGACAAAAGCUCUACCAAAAGAGAAGAUAGAGUUUUGUAAACAAGCUGCAGGCUUGGCAGCAACCCCAAACUAAUCUAAGGAUAGUUUCCCUUUGGCUGGAGGGGGAGAAUUGUUGGUUUCCAGCCACAAUAGUAACAAUAAUGCAUCAAUGGGAAAUGUUGAAUUUUUCUCCACUAGCAUGCCUAUGAAUAAUAGCUUGCGGUGGUAAAAAUUCUACCAUGUCAGUAACAAAUUGACAAACUUGGCAAUUGGUAACUAUUGUCAAAGAUGGUGCAGCAAGGAUUGGAAAAUAAGAACCAAGCAUUUAAUGCACACGGUUCAAAACCCUCUAUAAAUAGAGAAGAGUUUCAGCAAUGAAACACACCACAACACAAUCCUCACUCACAUAGAGUUGAGAGAAAAAUAGAGAGUUCCUCAUAAGAGUGUGAGAGAAAAAUAUAGUGAGCCAAUUUGUGAGAGUUGUAUCUACAAAUUGAGAUACAUAGUUAGGUCCACCUGAGGGUGAAGAUUUGUAUUCCCAUUAUUAUUAUAGUGGAGAUUUAAGAGGCCUACGGGUCCCGUGGUUUUUCCUUACUCACAUUGAGAAGGUUUUCCACGCUAAAAUUUUGUUGUGUCAUUUUACGUUUCCGCUAAAGUGCCUAUUUUGAGUUCACGGAGGAGGGAAAUUAUGCAGGCAUUUCCCAACAG